AUUGAACGCUGGCGGCAGGCCUAACACAUGCAAGUCGAACGAGUGGCGGACGGGUGAGUAAUGUCUGGGAAACUGCCUGAUGGCGGGGGAUAACUACUGGAAAAGGUAGCUAAUACCGCAUACCAUCGGAUGUGCCCAGAUGGGAUUAGCUAGUAGGUGGGGUAAAGGCUAACCUAGGCGACGAUCCCUAGCUGGUCUGAGAGGAUGACCAGCCACAAUGGAACUGCGCCACGGUCCAGACUCCUACGUGAGGCAGCAGUGGGGAAGAUUGCACGAUGGGCGCAAGCCUGAUGCAGCCAUGCCGCGUGUAUGAAGAAGGCCUUCGGGUUGUAAAGUACUUUCAGCGGGGAGGCGUUACCCGCAGAAGAAGCACCGGCUAACUCCGUGCCAGCAGCCGCGGUAAUAC
rnacentral:rRNA from 1 species